UACGGAGGGUGCAAGCGUUAUCCGGAUUCACUGGGUUUAAAGGGUGCGUAGGCGGAUUAGAAAGUCCGUUGUGAAAUCUCUGAGCUUAACUCGGAAAUUGCGGUGGAUACUAUUAGUCUUGAAUACUGUGGAGGUUAGCGGAAUAUGUCAUGUAGCGGUGAAAUGCAUAGAUAUGACAUAGAACACCAAUUGCGAAGGCAGCUGGCUACACAGAUAUUGACGCUGAGGCACGAAAGCGUGGGGAUCAAACAGGAUUAGAUACCCUGGUAGUCCACGCCCUAAACGAUGAUUACUCGACAUUUGCGAUACACAGCAAGUGUCUGAGCGAAAGCAUUAAGUAAUCCACCUGGGAAGUACGACCGCAAGGUUGAA
rnacentral:rRNA from 1 species